GUGUCAGCCGCCGCGGUAAUACGUAGGUGGCAAGCGUUGUCCGGAUUUACUGGGCGUAAAGGAUGUGUAGGCGGAUAUUUAAGUGAGAUGUGAAAUCCCCGGGCUUAACUUGGGGGCUGCAUUUCAAACUGGAUGUCUAGAGUGCAGGAGAGGAAAGCAGAAUUACUAGUGUAGCGGGGAAAUGCGUAGUAAUUAAGAAGAAUACCAGUGGCGAAGGCGGCUUUCUGAACUGUAACUGACGCUGGUGCAUGAA
rnacentral:rRNA from 1 species